CCUGGGCAACAAGACCAGAACUCCAUCUCAAACAAAAAAGAAAAAGAAAAAGAAAAAAAAAAAGCACCUGACAUAUUUACUGUUUCCCUGUGCACAGAGCUUGCUGUGUGUGCACAGCACUUUAUUUUAGAGUUGGGUAGGUAGGUCUUUCUCCCCUCCUGCCCAUUUCUUUUGUAUUUACUCAGUCCUUUUCCACCUGGUGCUUGGCAGUGUCAUGCACACCUUGGGCACUUACUGAAUACUCAUUCAUAGUGGUGAAGCCAUCCAUGGCUUCCCAGCAUUCACACCCUUCCCUGUGAGUGUGGCCACUGGCCCAAGCUCUGGGGGUCAGGUGUUACGGGGAAGAAGGAUGUGGGAAUACAAGUGGUAGCAGAGCUUUACUGUGUCAGGGUAGCUGCAUGGCACCUAGCUUCACUGUGCUUUGAAUAGCUCUUAACUGUGGUCUCCGUUGAAUGAUAUUUUAUACAUACCUGUAUCUUGGAUUCAAAAAUCAAAUAGACUAAAGAUUUUAUCUCCUGCCAGGCUUAAUGUCAGGUUAGCCAAGGAGAGAAUAUUUCGCCUGAGGAGCUGCAUCGUGGCCAGUAGCCUGACCAGUUCCCUUCGUGGGGAUCUGGGUUCCUGGAGCACCCAGCAUGGACUAGAUGAGCCUUCAGAGCAGAGUUUCUUAAACAGCGGAACUGCUGGCAUUGAGCCAGGGAUGGUGAGAUAGCACAGCAGAAAUAUUCUGAGCUCACGAAAGGAAUGCCGUCACUUAGAUCUGAGAGGUACUAUACCCCUUUCAAAGAAGAUCCCACAUGGGAAGACCUCCACUUGGGUAACUGGGAAAUUAGAGGUGACUACUUGCCCCACUGAAAUGAUUUUCCCUCAGCAAAAGGACUUCCUGCAGAGUUGUUUUAAACAAUAAGCCUCCCUUAGAGCAUUCAAAAUUACUCAAUGUAUAGUUAGUUAAAACUCCCAACCUAUCAGUCUCAUUACUGGCCUGUUCCAAAGGCAUUGGUGAAGGUCUGAGGAAGAUGGGUAAGUUGGUGAUUUGGGGUUAUCUUGCAAGAAGGACAGUGAUGGGGCCUGGUCUUCUUCAGGGGACCUAUUUCUCAGUUCAGAGAGCUGACCUCAUGAUUAAUGCAACUUGGAAAGGUGCACGAGUUCUGUGCAUAAAUUCUAUAUCCUCAGGCAAAAAAAAAAAAAAAAAAGACAAGGAAGAAAAAAAAGUGAGCAAACACAUGAGAAUAGAGAAGCUUUACAAUUUUUCUGGCUUCUGGUGGCAG
rnacentral:lncRNA from 1 species